rnacentral:rRNA from 1 species
AUGCAGGAGGAUAGGGUUGUGGAUUUCAGUUAUCUGCAGUCCAACAUCACAUAUCAGCACCAAUGCAGAGUUGAAUUGGUGGCUGGUAUGAAGGCAGAAAUGGCAAAGAAAGAUGCAGUUAUAGAGAAGCUUCAAUGGAAGUAUGAACUCCUGUGCAACCUGGCAAGUGCUCAAGCAACUGUCAUCCGGAACCUGAAGUUGAAGAAUAUGAAAGAAAAGGAAUUGCUGAGUGAGGCUAGGAUGAAUUUGGAGUUAAAGAAUGCAGAGUUCACAAAGUUUGAGGAGAAGGUCACCCAAGAGAAGCUAGAGUUGAAGUUUUAG